CUGUACAGACUGCUGCCACGCUGGCUGGCUAAGUAACUCUGUACAAACAUAUCUCCAUUUGCAUGCAUGGAAAUCUGCUACUACAAAUGUUUCAGUGGAUGCUGAUGGAAGCAGAAGCAGAGAUCCACAGCCGAGCAC